GAGAGUAUAGCUCAGUGACAGAGUGCAUGCUUAGUAUGCAUGAGGUCCUGGGUUCGAUCCUCAGUACUUCCA
rnacentral:tRNA from 1 species